AUUUGGAUUUGAGUUUGGAAAUGUUUAAAGACUGGGGUAUUUAUAAAGAAAACGAUUAAAAACAUAGUGUUUAUUACAAAGCAUUAUUAGCCACAAGGAGUCCAAGUAUACAAACAAAGUAUAAAUGGUCUGGAUUCACGUUUUAUUCAACAACUAAUAAAACUUUAUUUAAACGAAACACAAGAACCUCAGUCUUUAAACAUUUGCAAACUCAAAUCCAAAUAUCGGAAGUGCAGUCUCCACCUGGAUACCUCAUCUCAUGUGCUAGUGCAGGACCAUCAGGUUCAUCACCAAAGUCCACAAAGAGAUCAGGGUUUAUGGAGAGACCACCUUUCUCUGUAUCAACAUCAAGCUGAAUUAUGUGUGACCCUUUAUCCAUGAGUUCCGGGUAAAACUGACGAUCCCAUGCGCUAAAGAGCGAGUUUGUUGCAUACAACCGUUUCCCAUCGAGGCUAAGCUGGAUCAUUUGAGGUCCUCCUCUCAGAGAUUUCCCCUGCAAUUACCAGAGAAGAAGCAGUUUCAAGACAAUGCAAAAUGUUAAAAACCUCAAAAAGAUUUCAUAUUUUGGGUACAAACAAACCUUGAUCUGAGGAACAUCGUAUUGGAAAGUGUUACCAUCUUCUCCAACCGCCUUAACAGGACUGCCCUUUUGUAGUAACCCUCCCACCCAUAUUUGACCGGUUAAGACAGGGUUUUUAGGGUCUUCAAUGUUGUACUGACGAAUGUCUCCAUGAAGCCAGUUCACAAAGUAGAGGAACCGGUCAUCGAGGGAGAUCAAGAAGUCGGUGAUAAGCCCCGGCAUUUCUGGAAGAAUCCAGUUCUCUACUUUCAGUGGUUUAACUUGGAUAACCACCUGAAAAUCAAUUUGUACUAGGUGUUAAUCAUACAUUUGAAAUAAAACAAGAAAAGAAAGAUAAAAAAGAAAGAAGACUUGCCUCAUGGCCCCAUGUUUCAUCACUGUUCUUGAAAAAUCGUAUCAUAUUACUCGACAAAGCACCCCCAACAUACCCUGUAUCCUUAGAUGGAUCAUGCAAGAAUCUAAUCUGCAACCACAACAGGGAAAGAUUAUUAAUGUUAGUCUGAAGAAAGAAAACAUAUAAAUGAGACGUUUGAUUAAUUAUGUAUACCUCUAAAGGUAACAUGCCAGUCUCUCCAAGGUCAAUUAAUUGUUUCAUUUCACCUCCUGGCCAACUGUAAACAUGGAGAUGGCUUCCGUACAAGCCAUCAGCAACGUGUUGGAGAUCGAAACCUUUGGUGAAGGCUUUAGGUGCUCCCCAAGAAGUGCUUAUCAUUGUCUUGUGCCGCGGUUGAUACCAGAAGUCAUAACCAAACAAGGGACUAUGUCCUUCUUUCUCCCACCUGACAUAAUCCCCCAAUAACCAUAAUGAUUUAGAGUAACUAUUAUUAUCAACAAUGACAAGAAAGAAAGUAAAACAUAAUGAGUUAGUUUUGUAAUAAGCGACCUGUUCUUGAUGUUGAAAUCAGAGUCAAGAAGAAGAAACCCGUUCCCCUUGGCGUUUCCCUCUUCGUCUCCAAGACAGGACACCAAGAUCUCACCAGAGGCAAGGCAAUGAGCCGUGUGUGGAUAAGCCAAUCCAGUCUUUUCAGCAAUCUCCUUAGGAUCCACAUACUUGUACAAAGACGGUGCCCUCGGGUCUGCCUUUGUGUCAAUCGCAUAGAUGCGACCAGAUCUUUAAUUCAAACAAGGAGAAAGAUCAAGAUAGUGAACUUAAACAUCACUAAAUGAAUUCAGGCUGAAGGAAAUUUACAUAAGGGAUGGUAAGACGAGGUAACGUCGAUCAGCGGAAGCAUCACCAUGGCAAGAGCUGCAAGAGUUCCAACCAGAGUGAUGAAGCUCAUCACCCACAAAAGGCAUUGGCAAUCUGUGAAUGACGGUUGAAUAGGUUGGUGAGUUUGGAUCAACAUCCACCGUUGCCAAGUAAUCAGGCUUCUCUCGUCCCGUUCCUUCAAAACCAAAAAAAAAAAAAAAAAAUAUAUAUAUAUAUAUAUUAAAAAGAAGAAUCCACAACCAAAGUACAGUAGGAUCAAAAGAGAACUUAAAAGUAAGAUUCAACCAGACAAUAGAAAAGAACAAAGAUUCUUAGUCAUAAAUUUAUCCUUAAAACAGAGAGAUCUAAUCAGGAAACUGAAAACAGAGAGAGAUCACAAGGGGUGAUUUCGAUCUAGAAUCUUUGAGAUUCCGUAGGACCUACUAAAAAGAUUUUUUCACAUCAUCAUUCAUCAACCAACGUUAAAAGUACAGAUUCUGUCUGAAAAUACUUUUGAAAACGUUCGAUCUCUAACAGGUUAAAAGAAAAUAUAAAACAAAAGUGUACCAGAGUAGACGGCGGUGACGUAGAUGAGCUUUUCCGAUGGACCAGACAUGGCGGCGAGUGGCGUCGCGUAACCAGGACCUGAUUUGCAACAUCCUCCGUCAACGCCGUUGCUCGCGGGAGCUACCACUUCAGUAUUAGUCACCAUUUUCGAUCUCUGCCUUUCUUGAGUCCUGUGUCUCUGAAAUCAAGAUAUAUCUAUUAAAUAUAUAAUUUAAUAUUAUAAGGUAGUGGUUAAGCUUCACGUCUCCUUUGAGUUUAUCGCAAACACACACCCACGUGAUUUUGAUUUGUCAGUGCAAAUAUUUUAGCUGUGACUUUUCGUUGUUAUCUUUUUACUUACAAAAAGUAUGUGUAAGGUAAGAUAUGUGACGGAAAACAAUAUCUUCCGCGUCACUAUAGAUGUAAAUCUUCUAGGAAAACACUGGAUUUGUAGUAUUUUAAUACAUAACUACUGCCAAAUUUGUAGGUUGUGUUGACCAGACCGCAGGAUGUAUCUGAAUUAAAAAUACGUCUCCAUGCAAAAAGCUGAUAAAACAAUAAUGCAAUUCGUCCAUUGACAAAAUAAGAAGAUAAAAAUGAAUCUGUGAAGUGCAACUGUCUAAUUACGGUGUAUUAUUUUUUACGGCAAACUUAAAAUUGUAUUAACUUUUAAACCGAACCAGCUAGCGAACAGAAAAUGUUUUGGGUCAUGGUCAUUGUAGUUCGAUCGGGUUUAAUUGGACUAAACUAAAUUUAAUGAUAUUUUGUAAAUAAUAAGCAUAUAUUUACAAAAUAGAUCAUAUCAAAUAAAAUAUUUAAAUAGCCAUUAUAUAUAACAAAAUAUAACAAAAAUAAAAAGAAAUUAAUAGCUCAAAUCUAAAAUCAAUAUGAAAAUCACAUUUAAAAUUUAUUCUCAGAUCUUAUCACUCUAAAUCCUUAUCACCUGUAAAAAAUUAUAUACACAUUAGGUAAAAAAUAUAUUUUGAAAUACAAAUUUCACAAACGUAAAUGUUUCAAUUAUUAAAGUCUUCAAAACAAAUAAUCAUGAAAUAAAAUUUAAACAAAAUGAAAAGUAAACAAAAACAAUAUCUUAACGUGAAUAUUAAACUUGUAUCUUGUAACUUAUGAGUUGUAGAGAAGUAAAAAAAAAAUGAGAGGCAAUACUUUAUUAAACUUUAAUAAAUCAUAUUUUUGCUUUAAGAAGAAGCUGAACUUUUUGUUUCAAAAUAUAUUUUUUAAAAUUUUGGUUUAUAUACUAACUGAGGUUUAUAUACUAACCGGGGUUUGGUCGGUUCAUUGGAUCGCCGGUUCCCGGGUUUCUGACCGUUUAAUAUGUGUUUUUAACCGGUUCAACUUUAAUUGGGCUUUGGCAUUAACCCAACCCGAAUUAUUGUCGGCUCAUGAUUCAACCCGGUCCGGGUUUAAAAAUACUGCUCGAAACAUAGCAAGCAUACAAAAUUGGAUUUAACUAAGAGGGAGUAUAAGAACAACAAUUGUUAAGAAAGACCACUAAAAGGACCUUUCCUAGCUAACACAUGCGUUUGCUUGGUUACCCAAUCUUUUCUUCAUUCAUUUCACAUAUAAAUCUUUUACCAUGGCCCAUGGGUAAUGCUAAAAAAACCUCAAAAGAAAGGGGCACAAUGUAAAUAGAAAGUUUUAUUAUCUCGGAUUAAGAACAACGAUAUAGCAGAAACAACUUUUCAUUUUGAUUCAAAACACAUGAAUCUAGCGUCAUCAUCAUAUUUAUUACACUCUAGAAAACACAAAAAUGAGUCAAACCCAAUUUUACCCUUUUAAGGGGGCCAAUUCAAAUCCAGAUAUCAGAGGUGCAGUCUCCUCCGGGAUACAUCAUCUCAUGGGCAAGCGCAGGACCAUCAGGUUCAUCACUGAAGUCUACAAAGAAAUCAGGGUUUAUUGAGAGACCACCUUUCUCAGUAUCAACAUCAAUCUGAAUUAUGUGUGAUCCUUUAUCCAUGAGUUCUGGGUAAAACUGACGGUCCCACGCGCUAAAUAGUGAGUUUGUUGCAUACAAUCAUUUACCAUCAAGGCUCAGCUGGAUCAUCUGAGGUCCUGCUCGUAGAGAUUUCCCCUACAAAUACUUCAAUAUUAAAAAAACAACUUGUAUAGAAAAAAAAUGCUAAAAUUCUCCCAAAUGAAUGCUUUUGUUUUGUGGGUAAAAAAACAAACCUUGAUCUGAGGAACAUCAAACUGGUAAGUGGUACCAUCUUCUCUAACAGCCUUAACAGGGCUGCCUUUUUGUAGUAAUCCCCCCCACCCAAAUUUGAGCGGUUAAGACAGGAUUUUUAGGGUCUUCAAUGUUGUACUGACGAAUGUCUCCAUGAAGCCAGUUCACAAAGUAGAAAAACCGAUCAUCGAGGGAGAUCAAGAAGUCGGUGAUAAGCCCCGGCAUUUCUGGAAGAAUCCAGUUCUCUACUUUCAGUGGUUCAACUGAUAUAACCACCUACCAAAAAGAAUCAAACUAAUGGUUAAUCAUAGCUUUCAAGAACCAAAGAAAAAAAGAGGUUAUGAAGAUAAUUCCGAAACUCUACUUGCCUCAUGGCUCCAUGUGUCAUCACUGUUCCUGAAAAAUCUUAUCAUAUUACUCGACAAUGCACUCCCAACAUACCCUGUACCUUUAGACGGAUCAUGCAAGAAUCUUAUCUGCAACAACCACAUAAAACAUUACAUUAUAUUCCUCGGUAACACAGAUCCUCACAUUUUAUAUAACAUGUUGAAGUAAUGUUACUACCUCGAGAGGUAAGAGACCAGUAUUACCAAGGUCAAUAAUCUGUUUCAUUUCACCUUCUGGCCAUUUAUAAAUAUGUAAAUGACUUCCGUACAAGCCAUCAGCAACGUGCUGGAGAUUGAAACCUUUGGAGAAAGCUUUAGGUGCUCCCCAAGAAGUGCUGAUCAUCGUCUUGAACCGAGGCUGGUACCAGAAAUCAUACCCAAACUUUGGGGCAUGCCCUGGUUUGUCCCACCUGCUUUUGACGUUGAAAUCAGAGUCAAGAAGGAGAAACCCGUUCCCUUUGGCGUUUCCUUCUUUGUCACCAAGGCAAGAGACCAACAUGUCGCCAGAGGCGAGGCAGUGAGACGUGUGCGGAAAUGCUAAUCCUGUCUUCUCAGAAAUCUCUUUAGGUUCUACAACCUUGUACAAGGACGGAGCCUUUGGGUCAGUCAUUGUGUCGAUUGCGUAGAUGCGACCAGAUCUUCAUCAAGACAAGAAAGAAAACGUUAGAUCAUAAUGAUCUACUGUAGAUAUGAAGCGUCAUUAAUAAAUAUGCAUAUUAUAUGUAUAUAUAUAUAUUAAUAUCAUAUAAAUUUAAUUAUAUACUAUAUAAAAAUAUAUAAAAAUGUUAAUUUCAAAAUUUUCAUUGAAAAAUUAUUGGGAUUUUAAUAUUAAAUGAUAACUUACAGAGAGUCAAUAGUAAAAAAAUCGAGAGUAGAAAACCUAAUCUCCUUUUGUCAUGUUGCGUAUCUGGUUUUAAUGAUUUGUGUCAGCCCCAAAAGUUAAUUUUCUUUUAUGCACAUGAAGUCAUAAGAAUAAUUAAAAUGAACUAUAAUACGUUAGUUAACUCUUCAACAAUGAUGGUAUAUUUAAAAGACCAAUAUUUGUAUCGUCAUUUUACAAUCGAUAAAGAUUGUAGUAUUGCAAAAUGAUAAACCAUUUAAUGAACAAACAUAAACAUUAGUAUAAAAACUCACGCCGUGCACGGAUUAUCAUCUAAUCCCUACUUAUUCAUAAAACAUGCACCACUGGAAAUGCUCAAAACUCAAAAGAUAUGGACGUAAUAUAAACUGAAAGUUUUGAUUAAGUAACAAAAGAAAAGAACAAGCUUUAUGUCUGGAUGAAAACAGUUAUUUAUUACACUACAAAAGACAACAACUGACUCAAAUCUUUUCUUAUGGAUCAUAUUCAAAUCCAGAUAUCAGAUGUGCAGUCUCCGCCGGGAUAUCUCAUCUCGUGGGCAAGCGCAGGACCAUCGGGUUCUUCACCAAAGUCCACAAAGAAAUCAGGGUUUAUUGAGAGACCACCUUUCUCUGUAUCAACAUCAAUUUGAAUUAUGUGUGAUCCUUUAUCCAUAAGUUCAGGGUAAAACUGACGGUCCCACACGCUGUAUAACGAGUUUGUUGCAUACAGUCGUUUACCAUCAAGGCUAAGCUGAAUCAUUUGAGGUCCUCCUCUCAGAGAUUUCCCC
rnacentral:lncRNA from 1 species